CCCCACGUUACCACAGGUGGUCCCUUCAAUGCAACAGGAUGUCCAAAAUGGACAAAANGUUCGCGUAAUCGAUUACAGGCCUCUUGUAAACGAUUACAAGAGUGGUUUUUGCUGCAGAAUUCAUUGAACUUGUACAACAUUCAUCUCAUGACCNAGAGUGGACCCCCUGUACAUCAUGGGGUUUCCCAACCAUGACAUCCAACCCUAGACACACACUUAUACGAAAAACAUCUCAACUUCACUUGGAAAACACCCUAAUUCNUAUGGAACUUUCAUACAUUUCACAUAAGAAAAACCUGGACAUUAAUCAUCAAUCAACAAUCAUGUCUACAUUGCUAAUAAGCAUUCUUUAUAUCAUUCAUCUUAUUCAAAUAACAAUUUGUACAAUGUCUUGAAAUGUAUAAAAGAAUC
rnacentral:lncRNA from 1 species